rnacentral:lncRNA from 1 species
GACCAGAAAUAAGAUGCAGCUAUCAACAGUGAUUCAUUCUUGUGCAUAUCGGCAAUAGACAGCCUAAUGCAUUGGUCUAGCUUUCUCUCUCCCCACUGAACUUCGUUGGAGUUGCCGACCCUCAAGAACCAAUCCUUCCACCCCACGGUAGGGCUGGGCCAGGAACGAAAAGCAUCUUUCCACAGGUCCAAAGAAAAGUUCUCUGCUCUAAAAGGGAUCCUGUUGGUUUCUGCGUUUAUGAGGUUGGUUGGAUCUGGAUCCCCUAGCGGGCCAAGGCAUUGGAGGUGUGGUUGAUCAGUAGGGAUGACGAUUUUGUUAGCCGAUUCCUAGUGGUUUUGGAGAUAAAAAAAACAUAAAAAAAGGGGAGAGGAAAUGUUCAGUAAAAUAGAUUGCGGAUGAACAGGGGUGCGAGAAAAGUACGAGGGAUGGCGUAAAGAACCGACCUCAGGAAUGAUGAAGUUGACGGCCAUCUUGUCGCGAAGAGGAUGAGUGAGGACUUCGGAGUUGGUGAAGAAGGGGCUUCGUCGAAGAUCUUGGAGCUUUUGGACAGUGCCGCCGCUGGAAAGAUGAGGUUGGGGUUCUAGAAUGAUGUGAUGGGGAAGGAGUACC